UACGGAGGGUGCAAGCGUUAAUCGGAAUUACUGGGCGUAAAGCGCACGUAGGCGGUUCGUUAAGCCAGCUGUGAAAUCCCCGGGCUCAACCUGGGAAUUGCAGUUGGAACUGGCGGGCUAGAGUACAGUAGAGGGGUGUGGAAUUUCAGGUGUAGCGGUGAAAUGCGUAGAUAUCUGAAGGAACAUCAGUGGCGAAGGCGACACCCUGGACUGAUACUGACGCUGAGGUACGAAAGCAUGGGGAGCAAACAGG
rnacentral:misc_RNA from 1 species